CCAAGUCGAUGAUGACCCUGUUAUCCCUGUCAGACAGCUGAGUGUUGAAACACUUGAUAACCUGAGACUUGG